AAUAUUUUACCACCGGGUAAUGCCUUAUUAUUCAUUCCGUUAGGUCUUUGAAGGAGUGAAUCAAUAAGGCAUUUAUUUU
rnacentral:ncRNA from 1 species